GGGGGUUUGGCUCAGUGGUAGAGCGCUUGCCUAGCAAGCGCAAGGCCCUGGGUUCGGUCCCCAGCUCCA
rfam:Rattus norvegicus chromosome 14, whole genome shotgun sequence.